rnacentral:rRNA from 1 species
AUUGAACGCUGGCGGCAUGCUUUACACAUGCAAGUCGAACGGUAACAGGGAGCUUGCUCCGCUGACGAGUGGCGAACGGGUGAGUAAUGCGUCGGAACGUGCCGAGUAGUGGGGGAUAACGCAUCGAAAGGUGUGCUAAUACCGCAUACGUACUGAGGUAGAAAGUGGGGGACCUUCGGGCCUCACGCUAUUCGAGCGGCCGACGUCUGAUUAGCUCGCGGGUGAGGUAAAGGCUCACCAAGGCGACGAUCAGUAGCGGGUCUGAGAGGAUGAUCCGCCACACUGGGACUGAGACACGGCCCAGACUCCUACGGGAGGCAGCAGUGGGGAAUUUUGGACAAUGGGCGCAAGCCUGAUCCAGCCAUGCCGCGUGUCUGAAGAAGGCCUUCGGGUUGUAAAGGACUUUUGUCCGGGAGCAAAUGCCUGGUGUUAAUAGCACUGGGAGCUGAGAGUACCGGAAGAAUAAGCACCGGCUAACUACGUGCCAGCCGCCGCGGUAAUAC